GGGGCGGCCGGCCCUCGGGACGGCUCCCCGCAGCCGCUCCCCUUUAGGGCACCCCAACCCCGCUCCCCGCAGGGGCCCCUGCUGCGGUUCGGGGAGCGCCCUCCGCUCCUCUGAGCCCCGGGGCGGGAAGGGGAGGGCAGGCCCCGCGGCGGGGAUGCUCCCGAGAAGGUCCCUAGGCUGUUCGCUUUGCCUAGGCGAGAAACGGCGGAGAAGCGCUUGAAAGGAUGAAAUGUAAUUUUUCUGGUGCGUGUGUAAUGUUCCUUAAGGCUGAUCGUGCCCUUGGUUUUCCUGCACCGGAUCCCAAAUAUUGUCAUCCCGGUGAGAGGUGCUCGCCCCCACCGACUCCAGAUCCGUUCCAGCGGCUGCACCGAAAUAGAUGGUAUUGAUCAAGCACGUAAGACAGAGAAAGUCGGGACGGGCUGAUGGUACCAACGAGUAGCUUAUUCCAAGGCGGUGAUUUAAAUAAGCUGAUCACCGGUACUCUUUCACACAUCAAAUGUAAACAUACUCUCAUGAAUAAAUUAAAUAAAGCA